AAUCAACGCUGGCGGCGUGCCUCAGACAUGCAAGUCGAACGAUUAAGACUCCCUUCGGGGAGUGUAUAAAGUGGCGCACGGGUGAGUAACACGUAGGUAAUCUACCUUUGAGUGGGGAAUAACAAUCGGAAACGAUUGCUAAUACCGCAUAAUGCAGCGGCACCGCAAGGUGACAGUUGUUAAAGGAGCAAUUCGCUUAAAGAGGAGCCUGCGGCAGAUUAGCUAGNGGUAAGGUAAUGGCUUACCAAGGCUACGAUCUGUAACCGACCUGAGAGGGUGGUCGGUCACACUGACACUGAAUAACGGGUCAGACUCCUACGGGAGGCAGCAGUCGGGAAUUUUGGGCAAUGGGCGAAAGCCUGACCCAGCAACGCCGCGUGAAGGAUGAAGUCUCUAGGGGAUGUAAACUUCGUAAGAAUAGGAAGAAUAAAUGACGGUACUAUUUGUAAGGUCCGGCUAACUACGUGCCAGCCGCCGCCGU
rnacentral:rRNA from 1 species